UGGGGAAUAUUGCACAAUGGGCGCAAGCCUGAUGCAGCAACGCCGCGUGGGGGAUGAAGGCCUUCGGGUUGUAAACCUCUUUUAGCAGGGAAGAAGCUUUUCGGAGUGACGGUACCUGCAGAAAAAGCACCGGCUAACUACGUGCCAGCAGCCGCGGUAAUACGUAGGGUGCGAGCGUUGUCCGGAAUUAUUGGGCGUAAAGAGCUCGUAGGCGGUCUGUCGCGUCUGCUGUGAAAACCCGAGGCUCAACCUCGGGCCUGCAGUGGGUACGGGCAGGCUAGAGUGCGGUAGGGGAGAAUGGAA
rnacentral:rRNA from 1 species